GACGAACCGUGCGAACGUUGUUCGGAAUCACUGGGUUUAAAGGGUGCGUAGGUGGGUUGGUAAGUCAGUGGUGAAAUCCCCGAGCUUAACUUGGGAACUGCCAUUGAUACUAUCAGUCUUGAAUAUUGUGGAGGUUAGCGGAAUAUGUCAUGUAGCGGUGAAAUGCUUAGAUAUGACAUAGAACACCAAUUGCGAAGGCAGCUGGCUACGCAUAUAUUGACACUGAGGCACGAAAGCGUGGGGAUCAAACAGG
rnacentral:rRNA from 1 species